UAGUANUUAUAAAUUUUUAUAACUAACCACCAGGGGAUUACAGAGUUACCUUUGAAACCCAAAGAGCUUGGCGGUACCUCAAACCCUAUUAGGGGAACCUGUUCUAUAAUCGAUAAUCCGCGCAGGACCUCACUCUUUUUACUUAGUCUGUAUACCGUCGUCGUCAGACAACUUUUAAGAAAACAGUAGUUCUCUACAAUAAACUAUUUAUAGACGUCAGAUCAAGGUGCAGCCGAUAGAAGAGAAAGAAAUGGGUUACAAUUUUAUAAUUAAAAUACGGAUUUUUAGUUGAAAAACUUCAAUGAAGGAGGACUUAAAAGUAAUUUUAAUAAGAAUGAAAAAAUGAAUAAGGCUCUGAGGUGUGU
rnacentral:rRNA from 1 species